UCCAGACUCCUACGGGAGGCAGCAGUGGGGAAUAUUGCACAAUGGGCGCAAGCCUGAUGCAGCCAUGCCGCGUGUAUGAAGAAGGCCUUCGGGUUGUAAAGUACUUUCAGCGGGGAGGAAGGUGUUGAGGUUAAUAACCUCAGCAAUUGACGUUACCCGCAGAAGAAGCACCGGCUAACUCCGCGCCAGCAGCCGCGGUAAUACGGAGGGUGCAAGCGUUAAUCGGAAUUACUGGGCGUAAAGCGCACGCAGGCGGUCUGUCAAGACGGAUGUGAAAUCCCCGGGCUCAACCUGGGAACUGCAUUCGAAACUGACAGGCUGGAGUCUUGUAGAGGGGGGUAGAACUCCAGGUGUAGCGGUGAAAUGCGUAGAGAUCUGGAGGAAUACCGGUGGCGAAGGCGGCCCCCUGGACAAAGACUGACGCUAAGGUGCGAAAGCGUGGGGAGCAAACAGGAUUAGAUACCCUCGUAA
rnacentral:rRNA from 1 species